CCUACGGGGGGCAGCAGUGAGGAAUAUUGGUCAAUGGCCGGAAGGCUGAACCAGCCAUGCCGCGUGAAGGUCAGUGCCCUAUGGGCGUUAAACUUCUUUUGUGCGGGAGCAAUAAUGGUCACGUGUGGCCAGACGAGAGUACCGUACGAAUAAGCAUCGGCUACCUCCGUGCCAGCAGCCGCGGUAAUACGGGGGAUGCAAGCGUUAUCCGGAAUUAUUGGGGUUAAAGGGUGCGUAGGCUGUGAGGUAAGUCAGCGGUGAAAUGCCCCCGCUCAACGGGGUGAAGUGCCAUUGAUACUGGCUUGCUGGAAUGCGGAUGCCGUGGGAGGAAUGUGUGGUGUAGCGGUGAAAUGCAUAGAUAUCACACAGAACACCGAUUGCGAAGGCAUCUCACGAAUCCGCGAUUGACGCUGAUGCACGAAAGCGUGGGUAUCAAACAGGAUUAGAUACCCGUGUAGUC
rnacentral:rRNA from 1 species